GAUGAACGCUGGCGGCGUGCCUAAUACAUGCAAGUCGAGCGAACAGACGAGGAGCUUGCUCCUCUGACGUUAGCGGCGGACGGGUGAGUAACACGUGGAUAACCUACCUAUAAGACUGGGAUAACUUCGGGAAACCGGAGCUAAUACCGGAUAAUAUAUUGAACCGCAUGGUUCAAUAGUGAAAGACGGUUUUGCUGUCACUUAUAGAUGGAUCCGCGCCGCAUUAGCUAGAUGGUAAGGUAACGGCUUACCAAGGCAACGAUGCGUAGCCGACAUGAGAGGGUGAUCGGCCACACUGGAACUGAGACACGGUCCAGACUCCUACGGGAGGCAGCAGUAGGGAAUCUUCCGCAAUGGGCGAAAGCGUGACGGAGCAACGCCGCGUGAGUGAUGAAGGUCUUCGGAUCGUAAAACUCUGUUAUUAGGGAAGAACAAAUGUGUAAGUAACUAUGCACGUCUUGACGGUACCUAAUCAGAAAGCCACGGCUAACUACGUG
rnacentral:rRNA from 1 species